AAUAAAUUAGUUUAUUUAGAAUAAUAUGUUUGCGUCAUAUGGGUGGGAUUUAUAUUUUCAUUUAUUA
rnacentral:tRNA from 1 species